rnacentral:tRNA from 1 species
UUCAAGAAGUCAAAAUUUUGAUUUAGAGUUUAAGCCUCUAAGAAAGCUUAGCUCUUGAAA